AGAUUGAACGCUGGCGGCGUGCUUAACACAUGCAAGUCGAGCGGUAACGCGGGAGCAAUCCUGGCGACGAGCGGCGAACGGGUGAGUAAUGCUUGGGAAUCUGCCCAUUAGUGGGGAACAACCAGCCGAAAGGUUGGCUAAUACCGCAUACGCCCUACGGGGGAAAGCGGGGGAUCGUAAGACCUCGCGCUAAUGGAUGAGCCCAAGUCGGAUUAGCUUGUUGGUAGGGUAACGGCCUACCAAGGCGACAAUCCGUAGCUGGUCUGAGAGGACGACCAGCCACACUGGGACUGAGACACGGCCCAGACUCCUACGGGAGGCAGCAGUGGGGAAUAUUGGACAAUGGGGGCAACCCUGAUCCAGCGACGCCGCGUGUGUGAAGAAGGCCUGCGGGUUGUAAGCACUUUUAGUGGGGAUGAAAAGCUCAGGGUUAACACCUCUGGGUCUUGACCUAACCACAGAAAAGCACCGGCUAACUCUGUGCCAGCAGCCGCGGU
rnacentral:rRNA from 1 species